CUGGGGAGAAGAAAAUGUUCUUGCCAGGUGCCUGGGCAGACGCUUGCCUGUAAAACCUGAAGGCAAAGUCCGUGUUGCUGGGGACUAUCCGUUGGCAGAACCCAAGAGGAUCUCCCUCAUGGGAAUGCUGAUCCUGGAGAGCGAAGACCAUCAGACCAAGCCAGUCAGUAACGUAGAAUGUUUUGUCCCAGACAGUAUGUAACAACUAAACAAAUAUUAAUUGAAAUGAGAUUUGGUGCCAAAGUCCGCCACUUUUUUCUAUGCAGUACCUGAGACAGAGAUUACCCUUCCUCUGGAGAUGUGAACUCCACCCUGCACUAAGCUCUGACAGCCAGGGGCAGGGCAAGGGAGCUUUGGGGAACACCUCUUGUUACCAGCCAUGCUACCCAGCCUACUGAACUCUGCUUAAGCUGCUACCAGGACACUGACCUUUUCUGUAGGAGCUAUCCUCCUGAUGCCAGAAGUCAUAAGAAGUCACAAGCCUCCACCACCCUUCGGAGUCCCCACUUCCCAUACUCCACCUGCCCCUCCAGCAGCAUAGCUGGGAGCUUACAGUCUUGCAUCAGUGGCAUCUCAACACUUAAAUGGGCUCCACCCUACCACCUGCUGCAGGAGUUGCUGAUCCUCCCUGAUCAGUAGCCAGCUGGUAUCCAAAGCAUAGAGCACCCCUCAUUGAGAAGUAGCUGAUGAUGUUCUUCAGAAGUUGUGAGAGCCUGUGAGAAACCGUCACCUCCUGUAACUGCACUUUCCUGGCAGACACAAGCACCCUUGGCUUCUUCUCAGAGUUCCCAGUGAUGCCCUCAUGCUCCUUUCAGAAAUGGAGCUGCCUCACACAGACUCAUCUUGGUAUCACAUGUGCUGUGUAGUUCCACAUAGGCCUGCUUUCAGGCAGCAACUGCUACAGAAAGCUCAAUAAAUUGUGUGAAGCUAGUUAAAGAAGCAAAUGCAUGUGACUAAUUUUUCUAACUGGUUGCUCUGCCCUCUUCAAAAUGGGCAUUUUAUUUUUAAUUCAUACAGAUUCAGCAUCCUUAGUAUUGUUAACCAAUAUUGUCUGAUGGAUAUAAACUAUCUUGUACAGGAUAUAUUCUUCUAUGUAAUUCUCAGCGGCUGAAAUGGGUUUCAUUUGUGUGUGUGUGUGUGUUUGGGGGGGAGUCAGGGGUUGUUUUUGUUUUCUAAAGGAUGGUCCUCUUCUGAACAGGAAUAAUCAUUACAGGAAUGGCAGAAACAGUGACAAUACUGCCAAACACAGCUUUCUAGUUGCCUGUUACUAGAAAGAAUGACUGCACUUUAAUUAUAGAUACAGAUAAAAACUAUUGACAAACAGGGAUUGGCAGUAGUGCAUGGAUUCAAGAAGAAAACAUCAGUAUGGAAAGGUUUGAUCCCCUAAAGGGAAAAACAAAAGAAAACAAAAUAGUAAGGCUAGUCAGGUUAGUCAAGGGCUAGUCACCCAGGAAUUGCUGGGUCAUCAGGUGAACUGACAUUGUCAUCAGUGUUGAUGAAGCUGGCAGAUGAUGCUUUGCCACACCUGGGAGCUGCAGAAGCUGAUCCUCCCCUGCCUGAAUUUUGGUCAGCAAAGAAUCUGGAAGUAGAAUACUGAGAGCUUGCUAAAUCUUAAGUGUAUUUUGUCUGUUAUAACUAAUAAAUUGUUGCAUCAUA